AGGGCAAUAGCUCAGUGGUAGAGCACGUGCUUAGCAUGCAGGAGGUCCUGGGUUCAAUCCCCAGUACCUCCA
rnacentral:tRNA from 1 species